GGUGUCGUGGCUCUCGAGACCUGAAGGACCUCGUCCCGACCCUCGCUGUCUGUGGCGCGGACGCCGAGCCUUUCCGUGGACUGCGGUGGGGUGCGGCGGGCUGGGGUCGCGGCGGCCGGGCGGUGGAGUCGGCUUUUCAGCAAGUCCUCAGCCCGCUCCGCACACGCUCUCUUUCCUCCGAGGGUGUCAGUUCCUGCUUCCUGUAUAUUAACCUUAAUUCACAGUACCAGCUUUGGACAGCCCAAAGAAAAUAGGCUCUUCUUCAGAAACACCCAUCUCUACUUUAAGGAGCCAGUAAUAUACACUAAUGUGAACGAAUCCAGUAAAAAGAGUGGCUUGAAAAGUAACCAGCAUGAAUAACAUGGUAUCAUCUACGGAAAAAUCCACUCCAGCUUCAGAAUACCUGGCUUAAAAAGAACUUUCAUAAUGGACCCAUUUCAUGGGAUUGUUUUAUCCUGCAUUCUUGGGGUCUUAGACUGCUUACCUAGAGUUUUAAGAUCUAUGUGAACUAACUUUUCUUUUGGUAAGUUAAUAAUGAAACAAAAUAGUAUCCAAGCUAAGUCAACUAUUGGAUGUGUUUUAUUAUUUUUUGUUAUGUUUUUGUGACACUUGUACAUGGUGAAGAAGUAACUGAGCAAAAAUUCUACAUAGUAUGUUCACAACUCAUUUUGAAUAUUGUGUGUUUUUUAUAAAAAUUACCUGUCUUUAUGUAUAAUUGUAGAAUUUUGAGGUAUGUUUAUUAAAGUCCUUCCAGGGAUAUGUUGUGCUAUUAGAUUGCAGGUUAAGGGGAAGCUAUAGAAUCCUUUUUACCAGUUUUACCUUUGACAGUUGUGCUUUUAUAUACAACAUAAUGUGAACAGCCAAUGUAAAUUUUUAAAAUUUGUAGUUAUAUUUAUCUCUGUGCUGUGCACAUUUUAUUUUUCUCACUU